CACGUAGGGCGCAAGCGUUGUCCGGAAUUAUUGGGCGUAAAGAGCUCGUAGGCGGUCUGUUGCGUCCGCUGUGAAAACUCGGGGCUUAACCCCGAGCCUGCAGUGGAUACGGGCAGACUAGAGGUAGGUAGGGGAGAAUGGAAUUCCCGGUGUAGCGGUGAAAUGCGCAGAUAUCGGGAGGAACACCGAUGGCGAAGGCAGGUCUCUGGGCCGAUACUGACGCUGAGGAGCGAAAGCGUGGGGAGCGAACAGG
rnacentral:rRNA from 1 species